rnacentral:rRNA from 1 species
UUUAAAACUUUCAACAACGGAUCUCUUGGUUCUGGCAUCGAUGAAGAACGCAGCGAAAUGCGAUAAGUAAUGUGAAUUGCAGAAUUCAGUGAAUCAUCGAAUCUUUGAACGCACAUUGCGCCCCUUGGUAUUCCGGGGGGCAUGCCUGUUCGAGCGUCAU